rnacentral:lncRNA from 1 species
GUGCUUCAGAAAUAGGACCUUCUCAGAGCUUAAUUAAUGUCUUCUUUUUUUUUUUUCCCCCAUUUCAUUGCUGUGACCAUAGCUAUACAUUUGUCUGCUCUUUGAAGAAAUGAAUGACUCUUCAUGUGAGAUCCCAGCUCCACUGCCCAGGCCAGGCAGAGCAGGCAGGCUCUUAUCUUCGUCCAUUUGCCAUUCGAGCUUUGUCUGCUGCUUCGAGACCAAAAGGACGCGGGGACUGCUACUGAGAAGAAAAAUGACUGGUGGGGAGGAGGGAUGAGAGAAGACUACCAACUGAGAAAUGACCAGGAGAAGAGGAGUCGUCACUUCUUACUGCCAGGGCCCCCCAGCAACAUUGCCAGGCUUCUGCCAGUUGCUAAUCUCAGAAACAACGGAUGAGGAGAGGUAUCCCCCCCAUUGCACCCUCACCCGGGGUUUGUGCUUGUCUGCAGCAAUGCCAAAUACAGGAAAGAUCUAACAGCAACAGAAGCAGGUCUGUCUCUUUCUUUUUCUUGUUUACACCUUUCAGAAUGCCCACAGCUCUCUGUGGAGGAUGCUGAACUCGUCCAGUGUCUAACGAAUGGGCCUGUAACAACCACCCCAGGGGAUAAGUGAACAGACUAAAUUAUACUUAAAACUGCCAGUGCGAAUAGCCACGUUUAUUUUUGACGAUGCACAGGCUAAAAGCUGUAACUGUUGCUCUCCAGCCGCAUUCCCUUCUUGCUCUGCAGGCUGAUUGCUCAAGGACUUAGUUACUUUUGAAGGCCUGACAAUUGAACAGUUUGGUUUUUGAACUCACUUCUUCAAGUUUGUGAACACAGCUCCCCUAGUAACAGCGAGGUUAAGGUCAAAUUGUCAACAGCAUCAGCGACAUCGAGCUUCCAGAGCCCCCUGAGACAGGGGACUUGCUGGUUUUUAAAAGCAGAUGUUAAACUGACAGAUGUGAGAGCUGUGGGGUAAGAGGAGUCGGAUUCAUGUAGACAGAAGUGUCAUUCGGUAUUGGUUGGUUUGGCUUUAGAGUAUUUGUCAUAGUCAGUACUGAUAAAACCUAAAGUUAUCAUUACAGCAGAUUGCUUUAAUACAGUCAAGCUGAUAUUUGACCAUAUCAAAGUGUCCUUUUUUUGGUUCACACUGUAACCACUGUUUUGAACAUGCAAUCUACAUUUUCAGUCUGAAAUAGUAAAUGCUUAGAAAGGACAGAGACAUGAUUGUGUUAUAGAUCCCGGUCUUUCCCUGCUGGAGUAAUUCGAGACAGUGAUUGUCCUCCAGUUGCAGUGUUCUGCUCCCUAAAAUUUUGGUUUUGCUGUAUAAAACCUGCACCUUGGAGCAAGGGGUUUUGCUUUUGUCACAGUUUGGGCCAGGUUGGCCAAUGAUGAGAUGACAGAUGCUCUCCCCCACCUCUCACUCCAUGGAGAGGAAGAAGAGAGAUAAAGAGAUCUAUGAAUUCAGGAAAAACUAAACUACUUUAAUGAAAUAUUAACAAUAAAAUAAAAAGGAAAUAAUGGAAUAGAUACUCU